CUCUCUCUCUCUCUCUCUCAUAUACGCACGGCUUCGCAGAAUAUACCUACAUACACUUUAAGCUGAGAGCUUGGAUUCUCUGGCUGAUCCCUUUGACAUGUGUACAGGCGUCUACAGAAAAGAAACAAAAGAUAUACUUGGCCAUUAACUUGUUUGUUUUUGAAACCCGCAUGCAUACAUGAAAGAAAAACCUUGCUGUUCACGAUGACGGUCUCUGUAGGUUUCCGGUAGAUGAUUUUCUUGGUAUAAUCAUCUUCACCCCUAAUGAAGCCAACUUAGCACUGCUGGCUGUUAGUUUAGUUGCAAGGUUAUUGUCUUAGUGACUGUCGGUUUAUUUUAAUUAUUUUAGUUAUUAAUUUUGAAAUAUUCCUUUAAAGGGUUUAAAUAAUCUUUUUUUUUUUUUGAGAUAUAUCAGUCUCUAAUUACCGUUUGGAACCACUGUUUUCAGUACUAAUAUUAGGCUUAACACUCACAAAUUGGAAAAGAAAAUAAUAAAAAAGGUAGUGCACUUUCUUUGAUUUUGAUUUCAUCUUAGUCCUUACAAGGUUGAAGUUAGUCUUUGGAGCAAGUGUGCUAAAAACUGACAUGUCAGGGGAUAGUGAGAGAAGAUGCUUGUGUGGACGAGAGCGGGGCUUUGGGGUUGAUGGGAUACUUGAACAUAAUCUAAUAUAUGGUACGGUUGCUUCCCAAAUGUGUUCAUAUCACUAGGGCACCAUUAUACCUAUGUAAUUAAUGUAAUCAAACAAAAAUAUGAAUGAAAAAUGAAUUAAAAAGUCGUUUCAUUACAGUCCAUCCGUCCUCUGUAGGUACUGUUGUUUCCUGUUUUUUUCAAGAGUAAAUCAUUACGUUGGUGGGUAGGUAUUAUUUUCAUUUCAUUGUUUAUUUUCUUUAUUCAUUUUGGAGUGGUUAUAUCAAAUUAGAAUAUAACGAAUAUGUUAUUUAACAAUUAAUUAAAGAUAAAGAAUAAAUUUAUAGUAAUUUAAAUGAAUUAGUUAAAAUCUUUAAUUUGAUUUUUUAAUCUUUUGAAAAAUAUGAUUUGAAGGCUCUAUUUACUUGCUUUCGAAAGUCUUGAUUAUCUUGUUCUCAAUUGAAGAUUGCUUCGUUUGAACUGAACAUUUAUAAUUCAACAUUCUGACUUUCAUUACUUGUUCUUUGAAUGUUAGAUUAACGAUUUGAAUGGCAUGAUAUGCUUCAUCUAAAUCGAAGUUUGAUGUAGAAAAUGAUUAUUUGUUGAUUGAUUUAUUGCUUUAUUUUGAACAAUGAGAUUUACAAUGUAUUUAGAUGAAGUGAGACAAUAUUUUAUAAAGUAAAAUAAGGAAAGAUAAUGGAAGGUAAAGUAUCA
rnacentral:misc_RNA from 1 species